UUUAUAUCCUAAAGCCUAAAAUGAAUAGACAUAUAUUUCCAGCAAAACUUGUUCUCAGCACUGAAUUUCCGAAGGCAGAGUGUAAGCAUUUUUGUCUCCCACAUGAUAAUGGAAAGAUAAAUCGUGAUGAUGAGGCUAAGCGGUUUCACAGAUAUCAAACCAUCGACAGCAUGCCAACACUUGAAUCCCUGUGCAACCUAAUCAUGGAAGAGAGAACGAUUAGAAUAAUUGAUAAAUAAAAUAAAAUCCUCCUAUCAAUAUUUCUGGUACGUUGAUGGACUAAAAGAUUGGUCUUCUCUCCACCAUUAAGUAUUCUAAACAAAGAUGGAUUCCGGCAAUGGUGUUUAUGAAGUUUAAAGCUUUUAGAGGUUCAUGAACUAAUACAUGAUCCUCAAUAGCAUAAGCCAUUAGCCCAUUACAGUAUUUCCAACAGCAGAGCUCCUUCAAUUCAAAGCAUUGAUGGCUAUAUGAAUGAAGGUCAUUUGUUCUUCCACCUACAUCCUGUAAGCAUACAUUGAUGGAAGUGAAAAGGGAAAGUGAAGAAUUUAUAAAGGGAGAAACUUGCCUUUUCGGGUUUUUU
rnacentral:lncRNA from 1 species